rnacentral:rRNA from 1 species
AGCGAACGCUGGCGGCAGGCUUAACACAUGCAAGUCGAACGGGCUUCUUCGGAAGUCAGUGGCAGACGGGUGAGUAACACGUGGGAACGUGCCCUUCGGUUCGGAAUAACUCAGGGAAACUUGAGCUAAUACCGGAUACGCCCUUUUGGGUAAAGGUUGACUGCCGAAGGAUCGGCCCGCGUCUGAUUAGCUUGUUGGUGGGGUAACGGCCUACCAAGGCGACGAUCAGUAGCUGGUCUGAGAGGAUGAUCAGCCACACUGGGACUGAGACACGGCCCAGACUCCUACGGGAGGCAGAAGUGGGGAAUAUUGGACAAUGGGCGCAAGCCUGAUCCAGCCAUGCCGCGUGAGUGAUGAAGGCCUUAGGGUUGUAAAGCUCUUUUGUCCGGGACGAUAAUGACGGUACCGGAAGAAUAAGCCCCGGCUAACUUCGUG